rfam:Ovis aries breed Texel chromosome 16, whole genome shotgun sequence.
UCCCUGGUGGCUCAGCUGGGAAAGAAUCCGCCUGCCAUGCGGGAGACCUGGGUUCGAUCCCUGGUUUGGGAA